rnacentral:rRNA from 1 species
AUUGAACGCUGGCGGCAGGCCUAACACAUGCAAGUCGAGCGAGCGGCGGACGGGUGAGUAAUGUAUGGGGACUGCCCGAUAGAGGGGGAUAACUACUGGAAACGGUGGCUAAUACCGCAUACUAUCGGAUCACCCAGAUGGGAUUAGCUAGUAGGUGGGGUAAAGGCUCACCUAGGCGACGAUCGCUAGCUGUUCUGAGAGGAUGAUCAGCCACACGGGGACUGAGACACGGCCCAGACUCCUACGGAGGCAGCAGUGGGGAAUAUUGGACAAUGGGCGAAAGCCUGAUGCAGCCAGGCCGCGUGUAUGAAGAAGGCCUUAGGGUUGUAAAGUACUUUCAGCGGGGAGGCGGUACCCGCAGAAGAAGCACCGGCUAACUCCGUGCCAGCAGCCGCGGUAAUUC